CCUACGGGUGGCAGCAGUGAGGAAUAUUGGUCAAUGGGCGCGAGCCUGAACCAGCCAAGUAGCGUGCAGGAUGACUGCCCUACGGGUUGUAAACUUCUUUUAUAAGGGAAUAAAGUCAGACACGCGUGCCUUUUUGUAUGUACUUUAUGAAUAAGGAUCGGCUAACUCCGUGCCAGCAGCCGCGGUAAUACGGAGGAUCCGAGCGUUAUCCGGAUUUAUUGGGUUUAAAGGGUGCGUAGAUGGGUUGUUAAGUCAGUGGUGAAAGUUUGCGGCUCAACCGUAAAAUUGCAAUUGAUACUGGCAGUCUUGAGUACAGUUGAGGUAGGCGGAAUGCGUGGUGUAGCGGUGAAAUGCUUAGAGAUCAUGCAGAACUCCGAUUGCGAAGGCAGCUUACUAAGCUGCCACUGACAUUGAUGCACGAAAGUGUGGGUAUCAAACAGGAUUAGAUACCCCUGUAGUC
rnacentral:rRNA from 1 species